GNACGGCGGAAGUAGUCAGUCGCGUUGUGAUCGUGCGCAGGUAGAGCUCUGUUGCAUGUGGGCGAUUUCAAGAUGCCAUUAAAAUGGGUCAAGGCCCGCAGGAGAAAAAAUGAAGAGCAAAAUCUGGCAGCAAAAUCUUAAGAUAUAUGUUGCAAUGAAAGUGAUUCUGAUGACGAUGUACCUCUGUCAAGUUAACUCGGUGCUACUCAAGAACCUGACAGGCACAUUGAUAUUUCAGUAAAUGGACCACCUUGAAACUAGCCAUAUGUUGUUCUUCAUGAAAAACAAAUAUAUCACUAUAAAUUGUCUCCCUUCUGUAAACUCUGAAGUUUAGUUUACUGUCAAGUCUAGGUUUGAAUUAGUCAGUAGUGCUCUUAACAAUAGAUAAAUAUUAUCAUCACGUGCAUAAUUUUUAUUGAAUGAGAUAUUCAUGUUGAAACAAGUCAAAAUAGGGGGAAAAUGCUAUAAUUCUUUGUCAUGUGAAACUAGUACUCCUAAAUAAAUUACGUAUCUGUUGUGAUUGUGUAACAGUCAGUGGUAUCUAAAGGUGUUAACAUUUUUAUUUGCAUUUCAUCUGUGCCUUAUUAAAUCUAUAAUAAAAUGCUUAUGAACAGAA